CCUACGGGAGGCAGCAGUGAGGAAUAUUGGUCAAUGGGCGAGAGCCUGAACCAGCCAAGUCGCGUGAAGGAUGAAGGAUCUAUGGUUUGUAAACUUCUUUUAUAUGGGAAUAAAGUGAGGAACGUGUUCCUUUUUGUAUGUACCAUAUGAAUAAGCAUCGGCUAACUCCGUGCCAGCAGACGCGGUAAUACGGAGGAUGCGAGCGUUAUCCGGAUUUAUUGGGUUUAAAGGGUGCGUAGGCGGAGCGUUAAGUCAGUGGUAAAAUUGAGGGGCUCAACCCCUUCCCGCCAUUGAAACUGGCGCUAUUGAGUGGAAGAGAAGUAUGCGGAAUGCGUGGUGUAGCGGUGAAAUGCAUAGAUAUCACGCAGAACCCCGAUUGCGAAGGCAGCAUGCCGGCUUCCGACUGACGCUGAAGCACGAAAGCGUGGGGAUCGAACAGGAUUAGAUACCCGAGUAGUC
rnacentral:rRNA from 1 species